rnacentral:rRNA from 1 species
GUCGAACGAAGGGAAGGGGGCUUGCCCCCUGAACUUAGUGGCGGACGGGUGUGUAACACGUGAGCAACCUGCCCUAUAGAGGGGGAUAACGUUUGGAAACGAACGCUAAUACCGCAUAACGCGCUGGGGGGACAUCCCUUUGGCGCCAAAGGAGCAAUCCGCUAUAGGAUGGGCUCGCGUCCGAUUAGAUAGUUGGCGGGGUAACGGCCCACCAAGUCGACGAUCGGUAGCCGGACUGAGAGGUUGAACGGCCACAUUGGGACUGAGACACGGCCCAGACUCCUACGGGAGGCAGCAGUGGGGGAUAUUGCACAAUGGAGGGAACUCUGAUGCAGCGACGCCGCGUGAGGGAAGAAGGUUUUCGGAUUGUAAACCUCUGUCUUCGGUGACGAAACGAGACGGUAGCCGAGGAGGAAGCCACGGCUAACUACGUGCCAGCAGCCGCGGUAAUACGUAGGUGGCAAGCGUUGUCCGGAAUUACUGGGUGUAAAGGGAGCGUAGGCGGGAAAGCAAGUUGAAUGUUUAAGGUACGGGCUCAACCUGUACAAGCGUUCAAAACUGUUUUUCUUGAGUGGAGUAGAGGUAAGCGGAAUUCCUAGUGUAGCGGUGAAAUGCGUAAAUAUUAGGAGGAACACCAGUGGCGAAGGCGGCUUACUGGGCUUUAACUGACGCUGAGGCUCGAAAGCGUGGGUAGCAAACAGGAUUAGAUACCCUGGUAGUCCACGCCGUANACGAUGAUUACUAGGUGUGGGGGGACNGACCCCUUCCGUGCCGGAGUUAACACAAUAAGUAAUCCACCUGGGGAGUACGACCGC